GACAGAGGGGGCAAGCGUUGCUCGGAAUUACUGGGCGUAAAGGGCGCGUAGGCGGAAUGGCAAGUCGGUCGUGAAAUCCUUCGGCUCAACCGAAGAACGUCGAUCGAAACUGCCGUUCUUGAGGAUUGCAGAGGAGACUGGAAUUCCCGGUGUAGCGGUGAAAUGUGUAGAGAUCGGGAGGAACACCGGUGGCGAAGGCGGGUCUCUGGGCAACAACUGACGCUGAGGAGCGAAAGCGUGGGGAGCGAACAGG
rnacentral:rRNA from 1 species